UUACUGAGCUAGUUGUGCUCACCCUUUUGCUUCACAAUUCCUUUCAGGUAAUAAAAGUGUAGCUGGGAUAAGCGGGGAAUAACAGGGGAAUAGAACGGUGGUCUAUAGAUGUUGAGGGUGAGGUGAAUUCAACUUUGGAAGGGUGUUUUGUCACUAUUAUACAAGAUGUUUAAUGACAUACAACCUCGUGUCAUCAUAAGACAGGGUUGUGCU
rnacentral:lncRNA from 1 species